rnacentral:lncRNA from 1 species
GUUUUGUUUUAUACUGAGUCGUGUUCCACCUUUGUUUUUAUCCUGUCCUGGAUGCAUGGAUAGAAUGACCCUGAUUCAUGAAGGUUAAACUUGCCUUUCUUUGAAGCUGAUAGAUAUGGGGAAGAAAGCUCCUAGAUCUCAUUUGAGGAUCUGGAACCUUUGUGCCUGUAAAUGAAAAGAAAAUACCAAAAAGCAGCAGAUAAAUCAAUUGACUCUUUUUCACAGACCUUUUCUGGUUAUUGGAAAUGACCUUAUUGAAUAAGGCAUGGCAUUAUUUCCUCACUCCCUGAUUUAUUUUUUUUCUUCUAUAUGGAUCCCAGAUAUCUACAGGGGUUUUUAGAAUCCAUAAAAGAUGAUGAGAGAGGACAAGACAGGACCUUAGGAAAAAGAUUCAAUCUUAUCAAAAGUUUGGAAAGCAUAGGCAGUCAGUUAUUCAUGAAAAAGAAAAGAAACGUAACCCUUGGUAAGUCUUAUGAUUGAUAUUAAAGUUAAUGCAUUCUUCAUUAAAAGCAGCAAUUGAGGUAACUUAUACCCGUUUGUUUCGUCAAAAUGAAGUAGAGUAAAACUUAUUUAAAUAAAUAUACUCGAUUCUGGGUGUGGAUUUAAUGUAAAUCAAUACUUUAAUCCUCAAUCUGAAACGGAACAGCGUUUUUCAUUUGAUUUUAUCUUUUAAAUGAAUGUCACUGCUUUCACUUAAUGUAUCCUCUUUUUGCUUUUACAGGGCUCAAUCAUAUUUAAAAAAUGACAAAAGAUUGUAUGGUUACGAAAUGAAAAAAUUGAUGAAAAGGAUGAAUCUAUGUAUCAAUGAUCUUCUCAGGAAUUGUUUUUCAGACGGAUAUUAUUCGUUCAUGAGUGAGUCGUUCUAUUUUAAGUGGAAAUAAUCAAUUCUAUAAAACAAACUAAUAAGGUCGAAUGAUGUAAAACCUAUUUGGAAAGGUUAUAUGUGGAUCGAGAAUUAAGAGAACAACAAUGUUAUCUCGUGGUGAUUGAAGAUUAGCUCUAUCUGGAAAGUGAGUCGUGUUCCACCUUUGUUUUUAUCCUGUCCUGGAUGCAUGGAUAGAAUGACCCUGAUUCAUGAAGGUUAAACUUGCCUUUCUUUGAAGCUGAUAGAUAUGGGGAAGAAAGCUCCUAGAUCUCAUUUGAGGAUCUGGAACCUUUGUGCCUGUAAAUGAAAAGAAAAUACCAAAAAGCAGCAGAUAAAUCAAUUAAUUGAAAAAUGAGAUAUGCUAGAUAAAUUCUUGUAAUUUGCAACCCAUCCUCACGGCUUAAACUGAGGGUGUUACUCAACGCAAGAUACAAGUACCUGCAACUUAGAAAUCAAAUCCUUAUUUUUUCUACCUAUUUCUUGGAACGUGGAUCCAUUAAUAGCAAUCUUUACUUAUUUAUUUCAGGACUCUUUUUCACAGACCUUUUCUGGUUAUUGGAAAUGACCUUAUUGAAUAAGGCAUGGCAUUAUUUCCUCACUCCCUGAUUUAUUUUUUUUCUUCUAUAUGGAUCCCAGAUAUCUACAGGGGUUUUUAGAAUCCAUAAAAGAUGAUGAGAGAGGACAAGACAGGACCUUAGGAAAAAGAUUCAAUCUUAUCAAAAGUUUGGAAAGCAUAGGCAGUCAGUUAUUCAUGAAAAAGAAAAGAAACGUAACCCUUGGUAAGUCUUAUGAUUGAUAUUAAAGUUAAUGCAUUCUUCAUUAAAAGCAGCAAUUGAGGUAACUUAUACCCGUUUGUUUCGUCAAAAUGAAGUAGAGUAAAACUUAUUUAAAUAAAUAUACUCGAUUCUGGGUGUGGAUUUAAUGUAAAUCAAUACUUUAAUCCUCAAUCUGAAACGGAACAGCGUUUUUCAUUUGAUUUUAUCUUUUAAAUGAAUGUCACUGCUUUCACUUAAUGUAUCCUCUUUUUGCUUUUACAGGGCUCAAUCAUAUUUAAAAAAUGACAAAAGAUUGUAUGGUUACGAAAUGAAAAAAUUGAUGAAAAGGAUGAAUCUAUGUAUCAAUGAUCUUCUCAGGAAUUGUUUUUCAGACGGAUAUUAUUCGUUCAUGAGUGAGUCGUUCUAUUUUAAGUGGAAAUAAUCAAUUCUAUAAAACAAACUAAUAAGGUCGAAUGAUGUAAAACCUAUUUGGAAAGGUUAUAUGUGGAUUGAGAAUACGACUGAAUUAUAAUGGAAGAGAGAAUGAAACAAAUGUAUUUUCAGAAAGAACUAUUGUUUAAUUAGUCUCUUUCUUUUACUAUGUUAAACAAAAAUAAUAAACACGAUUUCAGACCAAGGACAUUUCCUGACCUAAAUUCUGUUGUUCAGAUCUAUUAUUAAAGGUCAUAUGCUUAAAUAAAUAUUGAAUAGCAAAUAAUUUUUUCUGGCGCCCUAGGUUUAAACAUAGGUUAUUCUAUAGAAUGAUCCCCACCUUCUUUUAUUGAUUGACCAUGUGAAAUAAUGUACCCUAUUUUAUUUACUACGUAAAAAAAAAAGAAUUUUUACUAAGGGAGGAUUAAGAAUGUAUUAUGUUAAUAUGGUAAAAUUACGAACUAAAAAUUAUUGCUUACGUCACAAAAAGAGGAGAAGAUGAAAUCACAUCAUUUGUGGUAUUUUGAAAGCGACAGGUUAUGGAGGAAUCUUUCAACAACGUGUAUUCAACUUUUCAUUGAAUUAAUUACAUAAAAGCAGCUUAUAUUUUAUAAAAUAAUUAAAUUCAAUGUUUUUUGUGUAAUAAACC